GCAUUUGACUGCACCACCCUGGACGCUCCCGAUCUCAUCUGGUCUCAGGAGCUAAGCAGGGACAGCUUGGUUAGUACUUGUUGGGAGACAGAAAGGGAACAACUUAGCUCAUUUUUA
rnacentral:rRNA from 1 species